GGGACAGGUUAGUUCCAAUACCACGGGCCGAGCGUCUCCUCACCCUGACACACACACCAUCCCUGAGGAGGACGAAGCAGACUCCGGAGAAUCUGACUCAGAGGAUGAGGAGGAGGAAAGCUCAGAGCCCACCGAGCCUACCUACACCCAUUCCUAUAAGCGGCUAAAUCUAAAGACCAUAGAAAAAAUUAAAACUGCUGUUGCUAACUAUGGUCCUACUGCCCCCUUUACCGUGGCCCUUGUAGAGAGUCUUAGUGAAAGAGGCUU
rnacentral:misc_RNA from 1 species